GUCGCUCUGAGAACAACUCAAAAUGGGAAAAGUUAACGGAUGCCUCAAGUAUGUCUUCAUCUUCUUCAGUUCGCUGUUUGCAAUAUCAAACUAAUGCUGGAAAGGAGUGGACAGAGAAGCAAAAAUGACUUCUGAACACAAGAGUUGAAGAAGAGAUGAGUUUAGAAGAGAGGAGUGAAGAACAGAGCAGUAAAGACAGCAGAGGUGCCAGCAUCAAAUCUGAUGCAACACACCUCUUUGUGGAAACUUCUGGACAACACUUUUGUCUAGAUAAUGUCGAUGGCUGGCUGUGCAGUGUCCGUCACGUCAGUGCUUUCAUCCACAGUAAGAGAGUAUGCAAUAAAGUCUUUGCUUCUUACAAUCAACUGUUUUUCUUAAAUCAGUGGCCAUCUCACAAAACCUGAUGUUUUGUCUCGAAGUGCCUUCUUAGAUUUAACCCCAUAAUUACAGCCACA